AUUAAUUAAACAAUAACUUCAUCAUAAGUUACUCUCUUCUUAAAUUGAAUGAUCCGAUUAUCCAUUUUUAGGACGUUGUUCGAUUUCGACCGUUCCUUUAUGCUCACUUGAUGGACUUUAUUACGAUUUCGAAAAAUUACGAAAUUUAUUUUUGAGAAGUUUCAAAUACUCUAGAUCAUAUUUAAUAGAAUGGAUCGUCGAUUCGGAAGCUCCAUCAUCGAAAACAACUUAUGAGUACGAAGGGCCCAAUACUCAUAAGAGUAUAGUAGCCCUACUCAUCUAAAUAUAUAAUUAGUACUAAAU
rnacentral:lncRNA from 1 species